GUGCCAUCGCACUGGGCAAGGCGCCCGAGCUGCCGGCGCUGGAACUGCCGCAAGGCGACGGCAACCCCAUCGCCGCCAAGCUGCGCGACCACCAGAUGUGGGUGGACGGCAGCUUCCGCCCCGCCGUGAUCUACGACCGCGCCAAGCUGCGCGCCGGCGACCGCAUCCCCGGCCCCGCCGUGGUCUGCGAAAUGGACUCGACCACCGUGAUCCUGGCCGACGCGGCCGGCACCGUCGACGCCCACGGCAACAUCCUGAUCAACCCCGUCUGAAGGAGCACCCCAUGCCCGCACGCAUCAUCGAAACCCAGACGGCGCCGCUGGCGGCCGCCACGGUCGACCCGAUCACGCUGGACAUCCUGGAGAACGCCCUGCGCAACGCGCGCGUCGAGAUGGACGCCACGCUGUUCCGCACCGCGCUGUCGCCCGGCAUUCGCGAACAGGGCGACGCCUUCCCGCUCAUCGCCGACCGCAAGGGCCGCAUGGUGGUGGGCCAGUUCGGCUCCUUCAUCGACGGUUUCCUGCGCAACUACGACGGCGACAUCGAGGAAGGCGACGUCAUCCUGCUGAACGACCCGUACUCGUGCGAGGGCGCCGUCAGCCACAUCAACGACCAGCUGGUCAUCGUGCCGGUGUUCCGCAAGGGCCGGCUGAUGGCCUGGGCCGCGAUGUUCGGCCAUAUGACCGACGUGGGCGGCAAGGUGCCGGGCUCCCUGCCCACCGACGCCGCCACCAUCUUCGAGGAAGGCUUCCGCCUGCCGCCGGUCAAGCUGUACCGCAAGGGCGCGUUGCAGGCCGACAUCCUGAAGAUCGCCGCCCACCAGUCGCGCAUGCCCGAGUGGUACAAGGCCGACCUGCACGCGCUGGUGGCUUCGUGCCGCGUGGCCGCGCGCCGGGUGGAGGAGAUGUGCGAGCGCUUCGGCGACGAGGUGUUCGAUUCCGCGCUGGGCGAGCUGCUGGCGCGCAACCACCGCGCCAUGAAGCACCUGAUCGUUACGCAGAUCGGCGAGGCCCGGGUUUCGUUCGAGGACUACCUGUGCGACGACGGCCGCGGCGCCGGCCCGUUCAAGAUCAAGUGCUCGAUGUGGCGCGAGGGCGAGAAGGUGAUCCUGGACUUCGAGGGCACCGACCCGCAGUCCGACUCGUCGAUCAACUUCUACAUGAACGAGAACAUGUUCAAGAUGUUCUUCGGCAUCUACAUGAUCAUGGUGUUCGACCCGCAGGUGCUGUUCAACGACGGCUUCUACGAUUUGGUCGAGGUGCGCAUCCCCGAAGGCUCGCUGCUCAAGC
rnacentral:misc_RNA from 1 species